GAUGAACGCUGGCGGCGUGCCUAACACAUGCAAGUCGAGCGGUAUAUGCUGGAACGAAACUUCGGUCUAGAGAAGGCAUAGAGAGCGGCGGACGGGUGAGUAACGCGUAGGCAACCUGCCCCAUACAGAGGGAUAGCCUCGGGAAACCGGGAUUAAAACCUCAUAACGCGAGGAGUUCACAUGUUCUCCUCGCCAAAGAUUCAUCGGUAUGGGAUGGGCCUGCGUCUGAUUAGCUAGUUGGUGAGGUAACGGCUCACCAAGGCGACGAUCAGUAGCCGACCUGAGAGGGUAAUCGGCCACAUUGGAACUGAGACACGGUCCAAACUCCUACGGGAGGCAGCAGUGGGGAAUAUUGCACAAUGGGCGAAAGCCUGAUGCAGCAACGCCGCGUGAGCGAUGAAGGCCUUUGGGUCGUAAAGCUCUGUCCUUGGGGAAGAAAAAAUAGACGGUACCCUUGGAGGAAGCCCGGCUAACUACGUGCCAGCAGCCGCGGUAAUGUA
rnacentral:rRNA from 1 species